rnacentral:rRNA from 1 species
GUAGUUAGCCGGGGCUUCCUCCUCAAGUACCGUCACUUCCUUCGUCCUUGAGGACAAAAGUUUACAAUCCGAAAACCUUCUUCCUUCACGCGGCGUUGCUGGGUCAGGCUUUCGCCCAUUGCCCAAUAUUCCCCACUGCUGCCUCCCGUAGGAGUCUGGACCGUCUCUCAGUUCCAGUGUGGCCGAUCAGCCUCUCAGCUCGGCUACCCAUCGUUGGCUAGGUGGGCCGUUACCCCGCCUACUACCUAAUGGGACGCGAACCCCUCCUUCUGCGGAUUGCUCCUUUGACCCCUGAGCCAUGCGACUCUGUGGUCUUAUGCGGUAUUAGCACUUGUUUCCAGGUGUUAUCCCCCUCAAAAGGGCAGGUUGUUCACGCGUUACUCACCCGUUCGCCACUAGCUAUAAAUCCGAAAACCUAUAGCCCGUUCGACUUGCAUGUGUUAGGCACGCCGCCAGCGUUCGUCCUGAGCACGAUACAACUACUCGA